rnacentral:rRNA from 1 species
CCUACGGGGGGCAGCAGUAGGGAAUAUUGCUCAAUGGGGGAAACCCUGAAGCAGCAACGCCGCGUGGAGGAUGAAGGUUUUCGGAUUGUAAACUCCUUUUGUUAGAGAAGAUAAUGACGGUAUCUAACGAAUAAGCACCGGCUAACGCCGUGCCAGCAGCCGCGGUAAUACGUAGGGUGCAAGCGUUACUCGGAAUCACUGGGCGUAAAGGGCGCGUAGGCGGGUUAGCAAGUCAGAUGUGAAAGCCUAUGGCUUAACCAUAGAACUGCAUUUGAAACUGUUAUUCUAGAGUAUGGGAGAGGAAAGUGGAAUUCUUGGUGUAGGGGUAAAAUCCGUAGAGAUCAAGAGGAAUACUCAUGGCGAAGGCGACCUGCUAGAACAUAACUGACGCUGAUGCGCGAAAGCGUGGGGAGCAAACAGGAUUAGAUACCCCGGUAGUC